rnacentral:miRNA from 1 species
CAUUACCUGGGGAGCUUGUUAAAAUGUAGAUCCUGAGAAGUGGGUGAUGAGAUUCUGCAUUUCCAGCAAGUUCUCAAGUUAUGCUGAU